rnacentral:rRNA from 1 species
AGAACGAACGCUGGCGGCAGGCCUAACACAUGCAAGUCGAACGAGAAGCCACCUUCGGGUGGUGGACAGUGGCAGACGGGUGAGUAACGCGUGGGAACGUGCCUUUCGGUUCGAGAUAACCCAGGGAAACUUGGGCUAAUACCGGAUACGCCCUUCGGGGGAAAGAUUCAUUGCCGAAAGAUCGGCCCGCGUCGGAUUAGCUAGUUGGUGGGGUAAAAGCCUACCAAGGCGACGAUCCGUAGCUGGUCUGAGAGGAUGACCAGCCACACUGGGACUGAGACACGGCCCAGACUCCUACGGGAGGCAGCAGUGGGGAAUAUUGGACAAUGGGCGCAAGCCUGAUCCAGCCAUGCCGCGUGGGUGAAGAAGGCCUUAGGGUUGUAACCCCUUUCAGCGGGGAAGAUAAUGACGGUACCCGCAGAAGAAGUCCCGGCUAACUCCGUGCCAGCAGCCGC